rnacentral:lncRNA from 1 species
CAAAUCCCAACGGCUCCGGACGCCUGAAUGGAGCCUCGCUCCCUCUGUCCCGCCCUUCCCAGAUCUAAGCCCACCCACUGGCGCUAUGGCGGCCUUCCCGCGGAUCGCGGCGCACUGCAGGUAUGAGUCCAUCGCCUGCGGGACUUCGCCUUGCAGACGGCCCCUACCUCGCCCCAGGAUCCCUGUCAGGCGCCACAUGUCGUGGCCAGCACCAUAGAGCCUGCAGCCGAGGGAUCGAGGCCCAAAGGACGGGACAGGGACCAGAGUGGCCGCUGCGCUGUCCCCAGCGGCCGAGUCCCCAGCCAGCCAAUCAGCAAGGAGCCCUGCCGGAAGGAUGACGCUCUAGGAAGGAAGUGGCCAUCGGAUAGGGCGGGCUUGGCGCUGGCGAGGUGAGAGCUCCAAACUUGAAGCGGCGCCACGGCCAAGGUGUCCUCUGUCGCCAUUGCAGGAGCUGCGAGGGUGCGCGAAUCCGAAUGGUGGCUGAUUGGUGAACCUAGAGCACCCUUUGCCCCAGGUUCUAGCUCUGGCCCGGUUUUUUCUCUUUACAUUUAAGCUGUAGGCAGAGGAAAUCCUCGUUAGAGGCCUUCUCCCCACCCCGCUUCUCAGCCACAAACUGUUGUUUCAUUAGGAAUCUCACCAGAAACCCGUUUUCAGGUGAAGGCCGAGUACUCAGCCCCUUGUGGUGCCUGGUUUUACUUGAUCACAUUGUAAUUCCAUCCUAGGAACCACUCUAUAAGUUCACUUAACAGAGAGAAGUGGAGUGGUUCUUAGCAACCUUUUGCGAUGUAACUUAACCACCAAAGAGAUAUCUGGCUAAUAUGGCAGCUCUCGAGAAGUCCGUAUUUACACGUUGCGGGGAUAACGAUAGGCCUUCAUGCUGGUCCUGAGCUUUUACCGUGAUGCUUCCCCCGUUGCCCUCUGUUUGGAUGUCCAUUCCCACCUUUGGCCUGGGUUCCACUAAGUUAAAGGAAUUCGUGAGACAGUAUAGAAGAUCCAGGAUACAGGGGCUGGAGAAAAGGCUCGGCAAUGAAGAAGAGCAUUGGCUACUUUUGCAGAGGACCUAGGUUUGAUUCCAAACUCCCAUGUAGUGAUUCACAACUCCAGGGUAUCUGACACACUUUUCUGUUCAGCAUGGGCAUUAGGCGCCCACAGAAUACACAUACAUGCAGGCAAAGUAUUUGUAUACAUAAAACAAUAAAAGAAGAAAAGCCCAGCUGUGGUGGUGUGUACCUUUUAAUCCCAGCCCUUUGGAGGCAGAGGCAGGGGAGCCCGGUACUCUUAUUCCCACGCUGCCUCCGGAAGGUAAAUCUGCUCAAAGGCGAUCUGCGUGCUGUAGCAGCUAAGAUUUGAAUCCAGACGUCAGGACUCAGUACCUUCCCUACAAAAAUCCCUUUGUGGUCCAGCCAAAGAACUAAAUGCAAGCGGGCGACCAUCUCGACCGCAGCCAGAAAGAGGGGGAAAGCGACACCAAGAAUCCAUUCCAAACGAAAAACCAAGAGGAGACGCGGCAGCUCCUAGAUGUUGAUGUUUUGUUUUUUUGACAUAAAUCUUCGCACUCAUAUGGGAGUUUUCAUUGAUUCGUGUUCCCAUCUGCUGAAUUUCCUUUUAUUUAUUUAAUAUUGCUUUUUGGGGAAAUCUUGCUUCGAAGCUCUGGAGAAGCAUAAACCGUGGCAACCACUGCAGCCCUCCUCCCUCUUGCAAGCCUUGGCUGCUGGGGGCAGGGAGAUGCGGUGGCGUCCUGCGGAGUGGGUGCUGGGCAUCCUCCAGGAGGGGCUGGCGCUGCAGGCCUGCGCUAAUGUGGCAAUUCUGUCUUCCGAGCCUUCCAGAGGCAGGGGGAGAGGUAGAGUGAGGAAGGGAGGAAGAGAGGGGCAGACUGGCUGACUGUUCUUCGUGCUUCCUGCUCAUCCCCAACACUUCAUACGUCCCUUUCGCACUAAUGUACACUUUGCUUUUGACACCAUGGAUAGUAGGAAACGUCUAACAGUGGGCAUCUAUAUUAAUAAGAUUGUACAUCUCACCGUCCAAUCAGUACCCUUCCACCUCAAUAGUGAUCCAUCAGUAAUUACAGACUCCAACUCUGGAAUCAGACUGAAUCUUGACGACUUUCCAGAGGGAAUUCUUGAAUAAAUUUACUUUUUAAGAGCUUGGGGGGGGGGGAACUUUUGGGAUAGCAUUGGAAAUGUAAUUGAAGAAAAUACGUAAUAAAAAAAAAAGAGCUUUGGGUUUCC